rnacentral:rRNA from 1 species
CAGCAGCCGCGGUAAUACGAAGGGUGCAAGCGUUACUCGGAAUUACUGGGCGUAAAGCGUGCGUAGGUGGUGGUUUAAGUCCGUUGUGAAAGCCCUGGGCUCAACCUGGGAAUUGCAGUGGAUACUGGGUCACUAGAGUGUGGUAGAGGAUAGUGGAAUUUCCGGUGUAGCAGUGAAAUGCGUAGAGAUCUGGAGGAAUACCGAUGGCGAAGGCAGCCAUCUGGCCUAAUACUGACGCUGAGGUACGAAAGCAUGGGGAGCAAACAGGAUUAGAUACCCCCGUAGUCCCUGUCUCUUAUAC